rnacentral:rRNA from 1 species
UACGUAGGUGGCAAGCGUUGUCCGGAAUUAUUGGGCGUAAAGCGCGCGCAGGCGGUCCUUUAAGUCUGAUGUGAAAGCCCACGGCUCAACCGUGGAGGGUCAUUGGAAACUGGGGGACUUGAGUACAGAAGAGGAAAGCGGAAUUCCACGUGUAGCGGUGAAAUGCGUAGAGAUGUGGAGGAACACCAGUGGCGAAGGCGGCUUUCUGGACGGUAACUGACGCUGAGACGCGAAAGCGUGGGGAGCAAACAGG